CAGGAGCACCUCACUGUCUCCCUCUGCCCACCCACCUGCACCUGACAGCUGUGGGCUGUGCUCUCAGGGAGGCACCGUCAGAUGCUACCAGACUACAGAGGAGAGCACCCUCAAUCCUGACUGAAGGUUUGGGAAAAGGCUGCUCAGAAGAGGUGAUACUUGAUAUGGGCCCUGGAGGAGGAGAAGCAGUUUGAGAAGACAGCAGUGAGAGAUGGCAUCCGGGCAGGCGAGAAAUGUCAGUGGUCAUGGAGGCAGCAUGAAGGGACUGUUGGCUGCAGAAACCUGGCAAGGCUCUUAGAGACAGAGACGAAGAGGGAGAUGGGGCUGGAGAUGGAGAUGAUAGAGACAGAAAGAUUGAAGAUGGCAGAGUGGGGGCUAUGGGGAAGGGUGAUGAAGCAGGAAAGAUAGAUCGAACGAGACUGCGAGGAGCCUGUGUGCCUGGGCUUUAUUUUGGAGGCAAUGAGAAACAGAAAGUGUUUUUGAGCAUGAUGGGACAAUGAGGAGUUCUGUGGUUUAGGAAACCCAGCAGUCACGGGAAGUGCAGAUUCAAAGUCCUGAGCACCAAGGGUACAGUCAGAAAUGAUGAAUCCAGAAAUGAUGCCCUCCAGAACUUCUGGUGAGGAAGGCACUCAGGAAAAUGCAGCACCCUAUGGAGGCCCAGAAAGGAGGGCAUUCAGGAAGAACACAGUCUGAUGGUGUCAAGUGCAGCGGAGGCUAAGAGAAAGCAGAGUGAAUGCCGACCUAAUCAGGUUUACCUCCAUUGCCAUAGCAACC
rnacentral:lncRNA from 10 species